UACUCCUUACGGUAUGCCGGAGCGGUCUUAAGUCCACAUGAUUGUGGCAUCUUGCCCAUAGAAGGUGUAAGGCCUGUUAAGACUGUACGGUAUGCUUUUGGAGUGUUUCAAGAGUCGGGUUGUUUGGGAAUGCAAUCCAAAGAGGGUGGUAAACUCCAUCCAAGGCUAAAUACUUCACAAGUCCGAUAGUAAACAAGUACCAUGAGGGAAAGUUGAAAAGAACUUUGAAGAGAGAGUUCAAUAGUACGUGAAAUCACUCGGGAUAUAAAGUCGGAAUAACGUCGAAGGGGUAUAAAGCGUUGGCUUUUCUGCAUAUGAUGCUUGGCGAGUAUGUCAUCCGCAAGGAGGCUGCUUGUCUCUGUAUGGUAUGUGGUUGAGUUAUCAGCUUCAAUUACCAGAUGCUUCCGAUCCUUGAUUGUGAUGGCAUAUGCUUUGGGGAGGUAUCUCAUUUUUUAUGAGCCCAUAUAAACUGGAGUAUAUGUUGUUGCGAUUAGGGUGGAAACUGAUGAAUACUCUAGCUAUUCAACACGAGUAAU
rnacentral:rRNA from 1 species